rnacentral:tRNA from 1 species
GCACCCAUAGCUCAGCUGGAUAGAGUACUCGGCUACGAACUGAGCGGUCGGAAGUUCGAAUCUUCUGGGUGCACCA